rnacentral:lncRNA from 1 species
UUUUUUAGUCUGCCAUGAUCUUUUCCAACCCUCACUGCACAAUGAAAGCCACAACCUUUUUUUUUCUCUCCCUUUUCUUAUAGUUCGAAGCACUCUACCUGAAACUGAAUAGGAGGCCCUCAAGUGCUUUCCAGAAGAGGCCGUUGAUUGAGACUAAGGGGAAAAAGCUGAAUAGUCAAAGAGGGCAGACAGGCAAAGGAAAGCACUAGCAGUACUGAGCACAUUGUACCAACGGCUUGAUCACUGCCCAUGUGAGCAGAUUUCAAGAGACAAAGAUGUGUUCGGAAAGACGUUACAGCUUCUCAGUUGAACAGUGUCAAGUGGAGCAUGUGAGGAAACGCUGUAUCUAUUGUAUGCCAUGGUUUGACAAGUACUGUAUAUCAGCCCACAUGCAGCAUCCGGCACCAUAUCAGCGAACAGCAUUGUGAUUUAAGGUGAACCGUGGGGCUGAGAAGGAGACCAAGAAUAACAACGAACAUCAAGGGAGCUGUUUCAGGUAAGAAUGAAUAAGCCUUGUUUGGUAGUCCAAUUCACUGGAUUAGUAUAGAUUUGUUUGAAAUACUGUUGUCACUACUAAAUUCAGUCAGGACAUUUUGAAUGUACAGUAACACAUUUAAGUAAUAUUUAGGAACAAGUAAUAGGUUUAUUCUAUGCUGAAAAAAAGAAGAGAGA